rnacentral:rRNA from 2 species
UGGUGGGUAGUUUGACUGGGGCGGUCUCCUCCUAAAGAGUAACGGAGGAGCACGAAGGUUGGCUAAUCCUGGUCGGACAUCAGGAGGUUAGUGCAAUGGCAUAAGCCAGCUUGACUGCGAGCGUGACGGCGCGAGCAGGUGCGAAAGCAGGUCAUAGUGAUCCGGUGGUUCUGAAUGGAAGGGCCAUCGCUCAACGGAUAAAAGGUACUCCGGGGAUAACAGGCUGAUACCGCCCAAGAGUUCAUAUCGACGGCGGUGUUUGGCACCUCGAUGUCGGCUCAUCACAUCCUGGGGCUGAAGUAGGUCCCAAGGGUAUGGCUGUUCGCCAUUUAAAGUGGUACGCGAGCUGGGUUUAGAACGUCGUGAGACAGUUCGGUCCCUAUCUG